AUGAAGCUGCGCCCCCAUGCGGCCACACGCGGUACUGCACCGGGCUUCUGGCGGUAACUAUGGCAACGAGCCGUGGCGGGUACCACGCCGUUAUUCAUUGGCGAUGCUGAGGCCACAGAGCUGCCGCACAUCAGUGAUGUGCUGGCAGCCAGAUGCUGCACGCGGGGCUCCACGAGCCUCAGAGAUGAACACUGGGUCAGAGCCGUCAGAGUCAGAGCAGCACAUGUGCACAUGUGACUGAUGACGAAGAUGAAAAAGUCAUCCAUUCGUGGCACAUCUCUCAUCACCAACAUCCAAUUUCCAGCCCACCAGGACCCCGGUGCUCCUCCUCGCUCUACCUGCGGUGUUUGGUCAGACUCCCGGCUGAGUCGUGGCUGCUGCGCCGCACACGGACGGAGGCUGCGUCGCGGUCAUGGCUGUCAGAACGGAGGUGAUGCUGGACAGAACCACGGUGACGGACGGGCCGAUGUGCAGAGCAUGCAGUCAUAUGAUGGGCUUCGCUCCACGCCGGCUGUGCAGACAAAUGGAGCAGAGCAGCAACAAAGUGAGCAGGCGAACGGAGGAUUAGCUGCAGAGAGGACGACACAGCUGCCUCUUGAAGCCGUCGGCCGCCGUGUUGAUGAACCGACCAGCACCGCUUCUCCUGCCAGACCGGGACACAGGCCGGAUUCAUGGGAACCAAACCGUCCAGGGAGCCGUAGGUCCCUGAGGCCGAGGCCGAGCGUGACGUCUGUCACUGCCACCACUGCCUCAGACCAGACACAAACAAACUGCAGCCGCUGGAUUCAGACAGAAGCAGAGCGAGAGCUCGGCUCAGACACAGCCUGCAUUCAAGUCCGUGGAAGACGAUGAAAUGCUGCUCACGGUUGAAGCAAAGUCUGAAAGUGUGCACAUAAAUGAUCAAACUAAAGCAGCAGAAAAAUAACUGUCUGAAGAUGCUAAACUUAAACUAACUAGUGAAUCUGCUUGUGGUGCUUCACGUCCCUCGGCCUCUGUUUAAAACCGGUUGGUGCUGUUCCUCCAUUGGCCUCUAGAGGGAGUUAAGAGCAUUAAAGCCUCCUGACCUCAGGAGGAUGAAAGUUCUGUUUAUUUUCAGGGUUUCUGGUGAUAAACAUUGUGAUGGUGUCAUUUCAUCGUCUGUGACAAACACAGAAACUGAUGUGACACAAGAAGCCUACUUUAGCUUCGUGCACCUUUCGUCCACCUGCAUUUAGCCCCAAACUCCCUCAAAGCAGUAGUUCCGUCCUCGGGCGUAUUGCCAGCGUAUUUCCCCGAGCGUUUGCAGACAGAUAUGAACAAUUAAAAGCUGUUAAGUGACCUUGUUUGGCAGCAGCAGCGCCGGACAGCAGCGCCGGCAGGCAGCUCUCCUGGCACAGACGGACUGACCCGGCCGGGCCCGAGAACUUCUGAAUGAGUAAAAUGAUUCGAUUACGUUGAGGCUAAUGACGAGGGGCAUUCUUAAAUCCAUCUCCACGGUUUUCUUUGCUUCUGCCCCUGAUUCAGCGCGCUGUCAGCAGCUUGUUAGACGGCUUUUUACUGCAGUAUUUCAGUUCGCUGCCUCCACAGAUGAACACUGGGAGAGAGAGAGCGAAGGAGAAACAGAAAGUAGAAUAAGAAAGUAAAAAUCUACUUAGACCUGCGCUUUAUUUAUUUAUUUACAUUUAAUCAAAUUCAUGGAGUCAGACUUUAUUUCUGUAUCACAUCAGAGAGUUCAAAAUGCUUUUCAGAAAACUGACCACCUGAUUGAAUAAGUACUGCACAGACUGAUUCUAGCACAAAUAUAAAUAAUACAACACAAGUAGAUUUACAAUGAUAGAACCUGUACAUGAAAAACAAAAACAAACACAAGGAAUAAGAUGGAUACUGUUGUCAAGCUUCAGCACUGUUCUUUGUUCAAUUUUAACUUUGUCGCAUCUACUUGCAGUGAGUAUUUAGACCAGGGCUGGGUUGGGGGUCAGGGUCUCCUCCACAAAGGCGUUCAGCAGGGAGAGGCAAAAGCAGCAAUUAAAUGUUUGAAUCAGUGAAAACAACAAGUUUAAAAUCCUCUGGUCUGUGACACAAAACCAACAGCACAAACUCAAAGCAGCGGUCUUAAUACUGGCAUGUUAGACUUUAUAAACUGUUAAAUAUAAACUGUUCUAAAGUCUCUUAAGACUAGAAAGGCAAAAACAUCUAAAAUAGCUGAAAAGAACAAACACAAACCUCAUCAUCCAGAUGCUGAACAACAGACUCACCUGAACUACUUAAUAGUUGGCGUUUGCAUGUGUAGAAACCUGCCGGUCAUGAUGAAAACGAGUGAAGUCAGGAUAAUGAUGACAACACAUCGUCAGUACUGAGCAUAUGGAGACGCGCGGCCUCAGGGCUCCAGGACCACAGCUCACUUUAAGUGACGAUCAGACAAAGCGAUGACUGGCAGACAGCGGCCUCUCCCUCCUGUCGUCCAUUUACAGGCAGCUGCUGCCUCCAGAAAAGGAGGAAAUCACUUUAGCGUUGUAGCGUUGUAGCGUUGGCGGCGCUGGGAGCCGGUGAAUGGACACAACACAGGGCAGCACGUUCUCAGGACAAUGGCCACAUCAUUUGUGUUGGUUUCUUUCUUUGUGUUGAUUCCCCAGACGUAGGUCUAGUCUCACCUAAUGCUUGUGUGUGUGUUUAACAGCAUCUCACACAGCGAGUCCUAAAAGAAGCUUUCUGGG